rnacentral:rRNA from 1 species
GAGGGUGAUCGGCCACACUGGGACUGAGACACGGCCCAGACUCCCACGGGAGGCAGCUGUAGGGAAUCUUCGGCAAUGGACGAAAGUCUGACCGAGCAACGCCGCGUGAGUGAAGAAGGUUUUCGGAUCGUAAAACUCUGUUGUUAGAGAAGAACAAGGACGUUAGUAACUGAACGUCCCCUGACGGUAUCUAACCAGAAAGCCACGGCUAACUACGUGCCAGCAGCCGCGGUAAUACGUAGGUGGCAAGCGUUGUCCGGAUUUAUUGGGCGUAAAGCGAGCGCAGGCGGUUUCUUAAGUCUGAUGUGAAAGCCCCCGGCUCAACCGGGGAGGGUCAUUGGAAACUGGGAGACUUGAGUGCAGAAGAGGAGAGUGGAAUUCCAUGUGUAGCGGUGAAAUGCGUAGAUAUAUGGAGGAACACCAGUGGCGAAGGCGGCUCUCUGGUCUGUAACUGACGCUGAGGCUCGAAUGACGUGGGGAGCAAACAGGAUUAGA